rnacentral:sRNA from 1 species
AAUAUGUACUAAGCCUUCCAUAAUUCCAAAAUGUCGUGGUCUCAAAUUGAACCUCGUGAUCCUAAUUUAACGACUUGGUCUCAAAUAACAUCAUCUCGUGAUCCAAAUUCAACGACGACUGAAGAUGAAGACGGAGAUGGCGAGAUAGACCAUCCUAUUCGAAAUUAUUGUAGAAUGUACGUAAUACUGCUCUAUACUUUUGGUUUUUGGUUGUAUCUGUUGAUAGGGCUAAUCA